GUUCCCUCCGAAACAUUCGAUAAAAUUGGAACGACACAUAGAAAAUUAGCAUACCCCUGUGCAAUGAUGACACGCUCAAAUUGAGAAAUGAUUCAAAUUGAA